UACGUAGGGGGCGAGCGUUGUCCGGAUUUAUUGGGCGUAAAGAGCUCGUAGGCGGUUCGGUAAGUCGGAUGUGAAACCUCCAGGCUCAACCUGGAGACGCCACUUGAUACUGCUGUGGCUAGAGUCCGGUAGGGGAGCGUGGAAUUCCUGAUGUAGCGGUGAAAUGCGCAGAUAUCAGGAAGAACACCCGUGGCUAAGGCGGCUCUCUAGUACGGUACUGACGCUGAGACGCGAAAGCGUGGGGAGCGAACAGG
rnacentral:rRNA from 1 species